UUCUUAUCCAGAGUGGCGGAGGGACUGGCCCGAUGAAACCCGGCAACCCAAAUGUAAAUUUAGGUGCCAAUUCCUGCAGAAUCCGUUUGGAUUUUGAGAGAUAAGAG
rnacentral:ncRNA from 2 species